rnacentral:rRNA from 1 species
AUUGAACGCUGGCGGCAGGCUUAACACAUGCAAGUCGAGCGGGCGAGGUUGCUUCGGUAACUGAGCUAGCGGCGGACGGGUGAGUAAUGCUUAGGAAUCUGCCUAUUAGUGGGGGACAACAUUCCGAAAGGGAUGCUAAUACCGCAUACGUCCUACGGGAGAAAGCAGGGGAUCACUUGUGACCUUGCGCUAAUAGAUGAGCCUAAGUCGGAUUAGCUAGUUGGUGGGGUAAAGGCCUACCAAGGCGACGAUCUGUAGCGGGUCUGAGAGGAUGAUCCGCCACACUGGGACUGAGACACGGCCCAGACUCCUACGGGAGGCAGCAGUGGGGAAUAUUGGACAAUGGGGGGAACCCUGAUCCAGCCAUGCCGCGUGUGUGAAGAAGGCCUUUUGGUUGUAAAGCACUUUAAGUGGGGAGGAGGCUUACCUGGUUAAUACCUGGGCUAAGUGGACGUUACCCACAGAAUAAGCACCGGCUAACUCUGUGCCAGCCGCCGCAGUAAUAC